UCGGUGGGCACCGACGCCUCUCGUUAUCCCCAGCGGCCUCCUCCGAGGCUGGGAGCGGCCCAGGUCGGAGCUCUCACAGGGCCCGAGAGGAGAGAGGGCAGCCGCAUUUCAGAGAGAGCCGCCCCGGGGAGACGGAGCGGCCCGCUCAAGGUCACGCAGCGGCAGCCAUGUCUUUGGCCUCCAUCCGGGGCCACCUACAAGCGCUGGCCGAGCAGGGGGCACCGACACCGCCCCCCUCGGGGAGGCCGUGCUGGGGGCUUCAGACGGGCUCGGUCACAAGCAGAGAGAGGACGCCUCCUUUACUGGGGCCCCAAGAACAAAACAACUGGGCCUCCUUUUCCACCAGCAGCCUCUCACAAAGGCUCGACCGUUGUUGCCUAAGCAACCGGCUCCUAGUAACCGCUCCUUCCGGCAGAACACUUCCGUUUCCACUUCAGAGGAAGUGACUUCACCCUAGCUUUCUGAGGUGCGCUGUUCAGUGGAUUCAGUCUUAUCUUAUUUUAGGGUUCUAUUGGGAAAGAUACUGGAGGAGUUUGCCAUUUCCUUCUCCAAUUUAUUAUAUAGAUGAGGAAACUAAGAUUCGUCUUCCGUUAGGACUAAGGCCGCCUUUUUUCUCCUCCGCCUCUUCCCAUUCCCCUUUAGAUCAGGGUUUUGGCCUCAGUUAGGAUCACAACCUCGAGCCCACUCUGAUCGUGCCAUAGGAACUCAAGAGUUUCUCCUCCGGGACAACUUAACCCGAGGUUGCAUUCGGAUGCUCCUCCUCAGGAGACUACAUCUCCCAGGCUGCAUCGCUCUUGUUUCCGGAUGCAAGGAUUUAAUUUUGCAGCAUUGCGUAAUUGAAAUGUAAACUACGUCCUAGACUUGUCGGAACUCUAAAGGAUCAUAUAGUCCGAGGCUGCUUAACUGUUUAUAUCGAGGACCUUUUGGGCAUCCUUGUACAGCCUGUGGAUCUCUUUUCACAAUAAUGUUCUUAAAUAAUUGAAUAAUUAAAUUAAUUAUUGAUUAAUUUUUGAAUUGAUAAUUCAAUUGAAUAAUUGAUUGAUUGAUUGAUAAUUAAUAAUUGAAUAAAUAAAUAAUUGAAGGAAAUGCUGAAGUUCAGUUAGAGGUUAGUAAAAAUAAAGAUGCAUUUUUUUUCUAUCCAAGUUUAUGGACCUGCCGAAAUCUUUCCAGGGAUCUCAUGUAAAGAACCCACGCCUUAGUCCAGCCUCCUUAUUUUGCAUAUGUAGGCAAUGGGUCUCUGAGAGGUUAAGUGAGUUUCAUGUGGUCACCCAAUUUAUUAAGUGUGGACUCUUCCCUCUCCUAAUCCAU
rnacentral:lncRNA from 1 species